UUUCCUUCCUCAAUACCCUCAGCCUUCUUCAAUAUUUAAGACGUUUUUGACAUACUGUUUCUUAGCCUCUUCCCCUGGUUGGAUCUCCUCUAUGCUGGAGAAGAACAUGUUGAGAAAUACUAUGAUGAACAAUGCCAUUUGGAGUAGCUACUUUGAGGACAAGAGACAAAAAGCCUGAGGAGAAAGUCACCAUGAAGGAAACAGAAAGAUUAAACAGCAUGCGUGAUCUUUGAUUCAGAGUCCCCAUCUCACCCUGGACUGCCUUCCUUUGGAAUUCCCUUGUGGAAAAAAAAAUUAAACUCUUAUUUGGUUAAAUAAUUGUGACAUCUGAGCUGAGACUUGAAUGAAGAAAAG
rnacentral:lncRNA from 1 species